rnacentral:tRNA from 1 species
GUCACGAUAGCUCAAGUGGUAGAGCAGCAGCGUGUCAAGCCGAAGAUCGUGGGUUCGAAUCCCGCUCGUGCCA